rnacentral:rRNA from 1 species
AGAACGAACGCUGGCGGCAUGCCUAACACAUGCAAGUCGAGCGAGAAAACCCUCCGGGGUGAGUACAGCGGCGCACGGGUGAGUAACACGUGGGUAAUCUGCCCUCGAGCUUGGGAUAACCCUUCGAAAGAAGGGCUAAUACCGGAGAGACCACGGUUUCAUCAGAAACUGUGGUUAAAGGUGGGGACUUUUAGCCUGCCACUCGAGGAUGAGCCCGCGGCCUAUUAGCUUGUUGGUGAGGUAACGGCUCACCAAGGCGGUGAUGGGUAUCUGGUUUGAGAGGAUGAUCAGACACACUGGAACUGAGACACGGUCCAGACUCCUACGGGAGGCAGCAGUGGGGAAUUUUGCACAAUGGGCGAAAGCCUGAUGCAGCAAUGCCGCGUGAGUGAAGAAGGCUCUCGGGUCGUAAACCUCUGUCGGCUGGGACAAAUGAGUCCUUGGUUAAUACCCAAGGGCAGUGAUGGUACCAGCAAAGGAAGGGGCGGCUAACCUCGUGCCAGCAGCCGCGGUAAUACGAAGGCCCCAAGCGUUGUUCGGAAUUAUUGGGCGUAAAGCGGGUGUAGGUGGCACCAAAAGUCAGAUGUGAAAGCCCUGGGCUCAACCCAGGAAGUGCGUCUGAUACUGUGGUGCUAGAGUGCGAGAGAGGAAAGUGGAAUUCCUAGUGUAGGGGUGAAAUCCGUAGAUAUUAGGAGGAAUACCAAUGGCGAAGGCAACUUUCUGGCUCGCAACUGACACUCAGACCCGAAAGCGUGGGUAGCAAACAGGAUUAGAUACCCUGGUAGUCCACGCCGUAAACGAUGGGUGCUUGUCGUUGGAAGUGUCAACCCUUUCAGUGACGGAGCUAACGCGUUAAGCACCCCGCCUGGGGAGUACGGUCGCAAGAUUAAAACUCAAAGAAAUUGACGGGGACCCGCACAAGCAGUGGAGCAUGUGGUUUAAUUCGACGCAACGCGAAGAACCUUAUCCUGGUCUUGACAUCUACCGGACGGUUGCUGGAAACAGCGCUUCCCUUCGGGGCUGGUAGACAGGUGCUGCAUGGCUGUCGUCAGCUCGUGUCGUGAGAUGUUGGGUUAAGUCCCGCAACGAGCGCAACCCACGUCCCUUGUUGCCAGCAUUAAGUUGGGCACUCUAGGGAGACUGCCGGCGUUAAGCCGGAGGAAGGUGUGGAUGACGUCAAGUCCUCAUGGCCUUUAUGAUCAGGGCUACACACGUGCUACAAUGGAACGUACAAAGGGAAGCGAUCUGGUAACAGUUAGCCAAUCCCAAAAAACGUUCCUCAGUUCGGAUUGAGGUCUGCAACCCGACCUCAUGAAGCUGGAAUUGCUAGUAAUCGCAGAUCAGCAUGCUGCGGUGAUACGUUCUCGGGUCUUGUACACACCGCCCGUCACACCACGAAAGUCUCUUGCACCAGAAGACGCUGUGCUAACCGCAAGGAGGUAGGCG